ACCUGGCUGGCUCAGUCAGUGGAGCAUGUGACUCUUGAUCUUGGGGUCAUGAGUUUGAACCCCAUGUUGGGCA
rnacentral:tRNA from 1 species